CCAGCCUGGCUUUUCUAUCUGAAUCUUUCAAAAAUGUUUUUGGCACUAUGGUUUUGAAUGUCAACAUAUCAUUAGACAGUUGACCACGGACCAUAGCUCACGUGCUCUAGGUAUGGACAUAGCUUGUCUAAUCUCCAAUCGUUGGCAGGGAAUGGAGCAUUUGCCCUUCUGUAUGACCACAGCUACUCUCACUUGGAGGAUCAUCAAUAGACAAGGGUCAACCAGCUCCAGAGGAAGCCUCUUCUACAGCUCAGAGAACCUAUUCCUUUAAGUUUCCUCACCUCUGUUCCAAUGCCAGACAAGACUUUUACUGCAAACACUUCAGUAUCAUUUCUAAUAAAGAUAGCUUCCUAGCUGAAUAUCUCCAACAUACAUACAAUCUGUUGUAUUUCAAUGCCCUUCUUCAAAGGGCACUUGGUGUUUGAGCUCUAGUAUAUUCAAGUGAAAUAUGUC
rnacentral:lncRNA from 1 species